GGCGAACGGGUGAGUAACGCGUGAGCAAUCUACCUUAGUUACAGGGAUAGCCCGAGGAAACUCGGAUUAAUACCUGAUAUUCUUUAUUUCUCGCAUGAGAAUAAAAGGAAAGGUCAGCCGAACUAAGAUGAGCUCGCGUUCUAUCAGCUAGUUGGUGAGGUAAAAGCUUACCAAGGCUACGACGGAUAGCUGGUCUGAGAGGACGAUCAGCCACACUGGGACUGAGACACGGCCCAGACUCCUACGGGAGGCUGCAGCAGGGAAUAUUGUGCAAUGAACGAAAGUUUGACGCAGCGACACCGCGUGUGGGAUGACGGAUCUAGGUUUGUAAACCACUUUCAGGAGGGAAGAAAAUGACGGUACCUCCACAAGAAGCCCCGGCCAACUACGUGCCAGCAGCCGCGGUAAUACGUAGGGGGCGAGCGUUGUCCGGAUUUAUUGGGCGUAAAGAGCUCGUAGGCGGUUCAACAAGUCGGUCGUGAAAGUUCAGGGCUCAACCCUGAAAUGUCGAUCGAUACUGUUGUGACUAGGAUACGGUAGAGGUGAGUGGAAUUCCGAGUGUAGCGGUGAAAUGCGUAGAUAUUCGGAGGAACACCAAUUGCGAAGGCAGCUCACUGGACCGCUAUCGACGCUGAGGAGCGAAAGCUAGGGGAGCAAACAGGAUUAGAUACCCUGGUAGUCCUAGCUGUAAACGAUGGAUACUAGACGUAGGAACUGGAUUGACGGUUUCUGUGUCGUAGCUAACGCGUUAAGUAUCCC
rnacentral:rRNA from 1 species